GCAAACUUGGUCAUUUAGAGGAAGUAAAAGUCGUAACAAGGUUUCCGUAGGUGAACCUGCGGAAGGAUCAUUAUUGAAUAAACUUGGUGGGUUGUCGCUGGCUUCACGGAGCAUGUGCACACUCACCAUCUUUAUACAUCCACCUGUGCACCCUUUGUAGUCUUGGAGAUGAGAGCGGCUGAUCCUCGAUAGGCCCUUUGGCCUGUCGGAUGUGAGGAAUGUCCUGCGAAAAAGCAUUGGCUUUCCUUAGAAAGUCUGUAAUCAUUUCUCUGACUAUGUUUAUUCAUAUACCACAUAGUAUGUUGCAGAAUGUAUCUAAUGGGCCGUAGUGCCUAUACAACUCAAUACAACUUUCAGCAACGGAUCUCUUGGCUCUCGCAUCGAUGAAGAACGCAGC
rnacentral:misc_RNA from 1 species